rnacentral:rRNA from 1 species
GUGGGGAAUAUUGGACAAUGGGCGCAAGCCUGAUCCAGCCAUGCCGCGUGAGUGAUGAAGGCCCUAGGGUUGUAAAGCUCUUUCACCGGAGAAGAUAAUGACGGUAUCCGGAGAAGAAGCCCCGGCUAACUUCGUGCCAGCAGCCGCGGUAAUACGAAGGGGGCUAGCGUUGUUCGGAAUUACUGGGCGUAAAGCGCACGUAGGCGGACAUUUAAGUCAGGGGUGAAAUCCCGGAGCUCAACUCCGGAACUGCCUUUGAUACUGGGUGUCUGGAGUAUGGAAGAGGGGAGUGGAAUUCCGAGUGUAGAGGUGAAAUUCGUAGAUAUUCGGAGGAACACCAGUGGCGAAGGCGGCUCACUGGUCCAUUACUGACGCUGAGGUGCGAAAGCGUGGGGAGCAAACAGGAUUAGAAACCCCAGUAGUCC